UGCGCUAAUUUGCUUGAAAAUUGCAAAUGUCAAACAAAAUUGUGGAAAAUAUAAAAUAUAUUUGCGAAAUGCUUUUAUUACAGACAAAAAGUGUUAGUAAAGUUUUUUCAAAUGGUUGUCUACAGCUAUUACAAUGAAUAUAUGAAUAAAGUGUAAUAUUCGUACAAACGCCUUGGGGUCCACAGUAGCAGACAUAACCCUUUAUAUGCCCAAACACAAGCAACCAUUUUUCGGCUGAUUAACUACAACGAUUUUUCAGAAUAGUAACAAAAAACGGCAAUUAAGCAAUUGAGCGCGAAAAGAGUGCCAAAAAAGUGCGAAUCCAUUCGUAUUGAAGUUUUGGAUUCCCUUGACACGUAACAUAUCUUCAGAAUGACCUCUAAAAAUCGUGUCCACAACAGUUGGGUCUACGUAACUAGAACGGACUGGAUUUUAAUACGACCAAGAACUCUCAACUCGGCAGAAUUCUGUCGCUACAACAAAACAACAACAACAUGACUUCCGAAACAAAGCCCUGCAGUCCGCAGCCGCAGCUUUAAAAAGUUUACUUCGUUGCUCAACUCAAAGCUUAUGAAUGUUGAACUAUUCUACCAAUUUCUUUACUAUCUUCUCAGCAGGUGAACAUUCUGAGAGCAUAAAAUGC